rnacentral:rRNA from 1 species
CACCUACGGGUGGCAGCAGUCGAGAAUAUUUCGCAAUGGGCGAAAGCCUGACGAAGCGACGCCGUGUGAAUGAUGAAGGCCUUCGGGUUGUAAAGUUCUGUUACCCGAGAACAAGAGUAUGUAGUGAAUAGCUAUGUACAAUGAGUGUAUCGGGGGAGAAAGCACCGGCUAAUUCCGUGCCAGCAGCUGCGGUAAUACGGAAGGUGCAAGCGUUAGUCGGAAUUACUGGGCGUAAAGGGUGCGUAGGCGGGAGCGUACGUCAGAUGUGAAAUUCCGGGGCUCAACCCCGGAGCUGCCUCUGAAACGGCGCUUCUUGAGGACUUGCGGAGAGAAUGGAAUUCCAUGUGUAGCGGUGAAAUGCGUAGAUAUAUGGAAGAACACCAGUGGCGAAAGCGAUUCUCUAGCAUAAUCCUGACGCUAAGGCACGAGAGCAAGGGGAGCAAACAGGAUUAGAUACCCUGGUAGUCCUUGCCGUAAACGAUGAAUACUUGAUGUAAUUGGGCUCAACCCCGAUUGUGUCGUAGCUAACGCGAUAAGUAUUCCGCCUGGGAAGUACGCCCGCAAGGGUGAAACUCAAAAGAAUUGACGGGGACCCGCACAAGCAGUGGAGCAUGUGGUUUAAUUCGAUGC